rnacentral:rRNA from 1 species
UACAGAGGUGGCAAGCGUUGUUCGGAAUUACUGGGCGUAAAGAGCUCGUAGGCGGCUUGUCACGUCGGGUGUGAAAGCCCGGGGCUUAACCCCGGGUCUGCAUUCGAUACGGGCUAGCUAGAGUGUGGUAGGGGAGAUCGGAAUUCCUGGUGUAGCGGUGAAAUGCGCAGAUAUCAGGAGGAACACCAGCGGCGAAGGCGGCGCUCUGGGCCGGAACUGACGCUGAGGAGCGAAAGCGUGGGUAGCAAACAGG